rnacentral:rRNA from 1 species
ACGGGGGAUUAGGGUUCGAUUCCGGAGAGGGAGCCUGAGAAACGGCUACCACAUCUAAGGAAGGCAGCAGGCGCGCAAAUUACCCAAUUCUAACAGCAUAAGAGAGGUAGUGACAAGAAAUAACAA